rnacentral:rRNA from 1 species
AACGAACGCUGGCGGCAGGCCUAACACAUGCAAGUCGAGCGAGGACUUCGGUUCUAGCGGCGGACGGGUGAGUAACGCGUGGGAAUGUGCCCUUCUCUACGGAAUAGCCCUGGGAAACUGGGAGUAAUACCGUAUACGCCCUAUUGGGGAAAGAUUUAUCGGAGAAGGAUCAGCCCGCGUUGGAUUAGGUAGUUGGUGGGGUAAUGGCCUACCAAGCCGACGAUCCAUAGCUGGUUUGAGAGGAUGAUCAGCCACACUGGGACUGAGACACGGCCCAGACUCCUACGGGAGGCAGCAGUGGGGAAUCUUAGACAAUGGGGGCAACCCUGAUCUAGCCAUGCCGCGUGAGCGAUGAAGGCCUUAGGGUUGUAAAGCUCUUUCAGCUGGGAAGAUAAUGACGGUACCAGCAGAAGAAGCCCCGGCUAACUCCGUG